AACACGGACGAAGGAGUCUAACUUGUGCGCAAGUAAUUGAGUUACUGUUGAAAGCUCAAUUGCGCAAUGAAAGUAAAAGGCUUGCCUCGUUGUGAGCUGUUGGAUGAUCCUAGGUUGACCCUUUAUUGGGAAGGUCUGGGCGCAAUCCAUGGGCAUCGCGAUUGCUUAUUGCCAAUCUGGUGCACCACGAGCGCACAAGUUGGUACCCGAAAGAUGGUGAACUAUGCCUGGCAAGGGCGAAGCCAGGGGAAACUCUGGUGGAGGCCCGUCUGGAUUCUGACGUGCAAAUCGAUCUUCAGAGCUGGGUAUAGGGGCGAAAGACUAAUCGAACUAUCUAGUAGCUGGUUCCUCCUGAAGUUUCCCUCAGGAUAGCUGGUGAUCGUACAAAGUAUGACAUGUUUCAUCCGGUAAAGCGAAUGAUUAGAGGCCUUGGGGGCGAAAUGACCUCAACCUAUUCUCAAACUUUAAAUGGGUGAGAAGCCGGGCUUGCUUGAUUGAAGCUU
rnacentral:rRNA from 1 species